GAGCCAAGAGUGUGUCACAUGUUAUCCAGCCAGGGCUGGCUCCUGUCUUUUGCCCGAUCUUAAAUCCUGGAUCAGAUUUAAAGGUCAAACCCCAGAGGACACCUGACCACACCUCCUGAAGGCUUCCAGAAGCCCUGCUCCUUUCAAGAUCUUUGUGAAGCCUUAAAAGCAGCCAACCAUGGAAUGAAGUCCCUACCUUUAUAAAU